rnacentral:lncRNA from 1 species
UGAAAAGUCGAUCCCUUGCUGGCUGAUUUCCUCGCAAAACUUCCUAGCUGGCGACUUGGAAAAAAGUCGAUCACUUUUUUCGAAAAAGUCGAGGAGCUUUUGUCGUGAGUAUCUUUGAGUCACAGACGGCGCCAACUGAUGGGGGAGAAACCCGACCAGUACUCCAAGACGCGCAAGCAAGCGCCAAGCGGGGAACUCCGCGGGAAACCGGACCGGAACUCAAGUGUGCAGAGCUCUGCUUCGCUGGGAAUCCUUUCGCUCCAAAU